rnacentral:rRNA from 1 species
UACGGGGGGGGCAAGCGUUGUUCGGAAUUACUGGGCGUAAAGGGCUCGUAGGCGGCCAACUAAGUCAGACGUGAAAUCCCUCGGCUUAACCGGGGAACUGCGUCUGAUACUGGAUGGCUUGAGUGUGGGAGAGGGAUGCGGAAUUCCAGGUGUAGCGGUGAAAUGCGUAGAUAUCUGGAGGAACACCGGUGGCGAAGGCGGCAUCCUGGACCACGACUGACGCUGAGGAGCGAAAGCGUGGGGAGCGAACAGG